GUUCUCGCUUCGGCAGAACAUACACUAAAAUUGGAGCAAUACAGAGAAGAUUAGCAUGGCCCCUUCACAAGGAUGAUAUGCAAAUCCAUGAAGCAUUCCAUAUUUUU
ensembl:snRNA U6 U6 spliceosomal RNA